CCCCUCUCAGGAUCACCCCUGGAGACUUUCCAGUAGUCUACCAGUCUCGGGUACGGGAGGGAGAGUCAAGCAGAGGCAUACCCAUUCCAUUCCUAGCUUGGGCCAUGGUUAGCGAGUGGAAGGCAAUGCUACAAGU